rnacentral:snRNA from 1 species
ACAGCCUGCCCACCCUGGA